AUUUGUUUCUUAUAUUGUUACAACUAUUUUUUUUAUUCUAAAACACUUCCCAUAUUACACAUUUUUGUCAUUCGAAUCACAUAACCUCACUAAAUUAAUAUCAUAACAAAGAAAUAUCAUCGAUACAACUAAAGUAUAAGUACAUAUAGUAUCGAUUCAUUCAAUCGAUUACUCGUAAAUGAAGCACAAGUAUUGACUUGUUCUCGAUUGAUCUCGAAAAAAAUAAGUGGCAAAACGAUUUUUAAUGAACUUCAUUAAAUUAACAUUUUAACGGAAAAUAUCAUCGAUACAACUAAAUGUGAAUUUUUCGCGAGAAUGCUGUUGGUGUUAUUUGUCAAGCGUGACCGAAGGAAAGAGCAGCGGUUUCGAAUGAGAAAAUUUAUGGGUCGCAAUGUGUCGACGGAAACCUUAAAUUUUAACGUCCCUGUCGCGUACUCGGUUGCGUCCUGCCUUGCCUGUUAAGAACCUUGCGAAGGGGGAUUACGAGUUGACUGCCACGAAGCGAACGUGGAACAUCAAGGGGUGGUUCCACUCUCUCCACGGUGGGGGAGAAUCAGAAGUAUGGUGGUGGUUCUAUGGUAGGGAGAUGUGUAGACGGUGCCACAGGAAAAGGUGUAGGGAAGAGGCGCACGUUGCUCCUUCUUCCUUCCUGAUGCUUUGCUUGUGUCUCUUCCUACGCUGAAUAUUUUUCUUUUUGUGUUGCUCGAAAUAAAUAAAUCGGGUUUAACCGUUUGUGUCAAACGAGCAUAAUAGAUAAAGAGACAAAUCAAUGGGGCUGUCGAGUCGGCGGUCGCUGUUUGAUGUCAAGAAAGAGCUCGACCUGCUCAGAUUCAGCUAUCUCGAUGUCGUCGCCGACAACGGCAUCCUACUGCGAUAACGCCAUUAUGCGAAUUCGAGAUUUGCAUAUUUCAGAAAGUGCUGCACAGGAAAGCAUAAACAACUCUGGUCGCUCUGCGCAACGAGAGCGUUGUGGCUUCCUCGUCAGAAGAGUUACACGCAUGGAAGAUUUACGGAGAAUCCAACGGUUUUCCUUUUCCCUUCCUCCACCUUUUUUCCACUUUUUUCCCCCGUCGUUUUUUUGCUAUCUUUGUUAUUUUUUUUUUCCCCUCUUUGUUUUUAUUUAUUUAUUUUGUUUUUUUUUUGUAGGAAAUCUCUUCUCUACACUCUGUAUUCAGACAGUAAAUGCAUGGUGACGCGAAAUGGAAAUUGGUUGAAUACCUUAAGAUGAUCAUUUUUGGAAUGGAGGACGAAAGAAACCGGUCCAACAAUUUAAACUAACUUGCGGUUUUCGGAUUGAAUCCUAACUAUAUUAAUAUUUGGACAACCAUCUUUUGGCAUUGUUAAUUGAUGCAUCUUGAAAUAGGCAGAAAAUAAGAUCUGAUAUUUCAAUAAUUUCACAGUGUGAAGUAUUGAAGAUUAUUGAAUUUUAUAGUAUUAUAAAUAUUUAAUUCAGAUUAAUGCUGGUUUUAAUCCAAUCAAUAUGAAUUCAAGACAAGAAUACCAUUUAAGUGCUGACAACCAAGCAAAACAGUAAGCAUGAGACCACCAACAGAUAAGAGUUGUGGUCGGGUAGAUCGCGUUUUCCACGCAUUUUAAUGCGAAUGGUCGCUUAUCAGGACAGCGUAAAGCGUUUCAAUGCUAGUUUCACCGCGUAAAUGGUGGAACGCGCGAAAACCGCGCGUCACUUACAUAAGUAAUAUAAUUGAUUCGUUACAAGCGCUCCUACACGUUGCAGAUAAGUUUAUCUGCAACACGCAUCGACGAAACCGGUUAGAUAACGAGCACUGCUACAUCAUAUAAUAAGCUUUAAUUAUUCGGAUAAUGAGGCUCGCCAUCCUCUUCUAAUGACAAAUAGCACCGCUUCACCCAUAAGCCACUGCGCACUACACAUAAAAUCCGCACGUCGGAACUUUCAAACGAAAAAUGACACUGGUCUCCGAAUCUUUCCUCGAAUCUUUUAUAUUACGAUUUAAUCUACUCUCUUAUCACCCAUUAUAUCUAGUUACUUCAAUACGCCUUACGUUUACCUUAAAGGAAUAUAAUCGGAAAAAUAUCUUCAUAAGAUGAUUGGAGAUUGAGAGAGAAUACGAAGUGACUUAAAUAAUCCCGAACAAAGUUAUUAAAUUAAUUGAAAAAUAAAUUGAUCUUGGAUAACAAAUAACAAAAAGUCCAACAUUAACAUCUAAUUUCUUACAAACACAUUUUAAUAAACUCGUCACACUGGUGCACGAGCCAACGAGUUAAGACUUAAGGAGGACACCUUUCCAACUUGAAUUUCAAUUUUCACGCGAUAGUCCAUAAAGCAUCCGAGAAAAGAAGGAGGAGCCUAAGCGAGCGAGAGUCCUAAGGGGUAAGGGAACGGUUGGGAAAGAUCUUAUGGAACGAAAAACGCGUUUGCCGUCGAAUUCCAGCGAUCAAGCGAAAAGAAAGGAAGCUGGAUGAUAUACCGGUGGAUCCACGUUCCACGCCGGAUAUUUACGUGUAGCCCGAUGGCCGAACUGCUGUCGAACAUCGGGUUUUACAGCGUCGAGCAACGGCGUAUCGUGGACAUCAUCGAGAGCCAAGGAUCCGGCGACUGGUUACACGCAAGUAGAUGGAUGAAGGUGGCUGGAACAAGGUGGCGGCUGAUGGGUGUAAAUUCGAGAUACGAUCUUCUCUCUUCUGUGUCCCUUUCCAAACGGAUUUACCGACUGCUGCGCAUUCUGCCUGCUUGGUUUUACUUGGUUUUUAAUUAUCCCCAGGGUUUCCGAGACAAAGGCGUCGCCGCCGUUGUUAGCCAGAUAUGAUGCAUCGGCAUUAGAGAAGUUGAAGAAUUUUAGGAAUGAACCGUGAUUCGAUACGUGAAUGCCUUUCUGAAUUGUUGUUUGAAAGAAAUUUGAUGGAAGAGAAGAUAAGGGGACGAGAAUCAAUCCAGUCAGAGUUUUUUAAUUUAUAAAUUGAUAGAAGCAUUGAAUGUUUGGAGGAAAGAUGAGGAAUUUCAGAAGAGAUAUAUAGAUAUAUCCUUAUCUCCGCGUCGGGACAAAUUAGCACCCCGACUGUGUGUUCGGUUGAAACCUGUUCGCUGGAAUCUGCAAAUUACCUUUUCUGCCGCCUCGAUAUAAAGGACGCCGGACAUUCGGAAUGGUGCGAGCGAGCCUUUUACGCCAGCGAUCUUGCACGAGUGUUGCAAGUACAAAUGAGCGAAUUUACGUUUCGACUAUUGCUGCCGGAUUCAUGUUAAGGAAGUAGCAAUAGAUUUUCAUAAUCUUCAAUACGUGUUAUUAGAUCUUUUUAUUGAUAGAUAAGUUUUAUCAUCGAGACUCGAUUAUUGUCUUUUUAAUGAAAAUAGAAGGGAUUCUUUAUAAGGGAUUACAAGAGUAUAGCCUUUAAAGUUUCUUUCCUCUUUUCUUUUUCAUAAUCGAGCAACAUAGAUUGACUUUUUCACUGUUUCAGGAGUCGAAAACACGACAAAAGUGACGAGAGCAAAUCUUUUGAGAACCAUCUUUUUAGCCAAGAGAAAGGAUAUAAAACACUGUUAUUCGCACAAUUCGCGAUAUUGGAGUCAGUUGAAGCUUCCAAUACUUUUAUUGAAGAUUUUGACAUAGAGUCAUGAUAGAAAAUAUUUAUAAUGUCAUCUUAUUUAAAUUGGACGUUUUCUUGGUCAUUUUAGAUGAACCAGUUUCUUCUUUCUGUAAUUAUUAUGAUAUUUAUUUCUUUCUUCAAUUAUAAUAAAUCCUUUUAUUUGUUUUUGAUUGUAGGAAAUAGAGAGGAAAGUAUUGAACAAGAUUGAUUAGUGAUACUCUUGAGUAUCCAUUUCAAGACAGACUCUUAAGUGAAUAUUGGAACAACAGCUUUAUUGUUGUGUGCUGUUAAACGCUUGAAAAGAUUUAGGAUUUUUCUCCCUUUCUUUUUAUCUUGUUCACUGCGAAUCUAGUUUACCAAGAUUAUACCUAAGGAUAGUUCUAUGCAAUACCAAAAGGAUUCUACCGACAACUAAGAAAAAUCCUAGAGAUAAGCUUAUUGCGACAAUAUUUGUCGUAGUUUCCCAUUCAGGCGGAGGGCAAGUUUGAAGAGAUUAUCUAUUAAUUAUAGAUCCCUGUAAAUCCUGUUUUUCGCGUGACCAAGUUUCCUUUUCCUUGAGUGAUUCGUUUAUCUCGAUGAAAGAGAAUUGGGAAAAAGAUGGGUAGCAAGCCAUAGUUGAGGAGAUAUCUAGGAGAAGAUCUAAGAAAGAAGAUCUAAUAUUCAUUGAAUGAUAGUUAGAAUCAGUUGAACUCGAUGAAUUCUAAGAAGUUUUCAACAUGGACGAGCAGCAGAAGAGACACUGAUUCCCUGGUGCUGAAGAUUACGACAAUGAGAUAUAUCAUUUAUCGAAUAAUCAUGCUUCCUAUUCUUGCAAUUCCUAUAAUUUCGAAAUAGAAGAAUUCUAUUAUCUGUACUCCAAUCCAUAAAACAGAAAAUAACAAAAAAGAAUUUUUAAUUAUAAUAAAAAUGAUAAAAAUAUAUUAUUUACUUCAUAUAUUAUUGUUAGAUUUCAUUUCAAUUCUCAUCAAGAAGAAACUUACUAUUUGCUUUUGUACGAAUGGUCUCUGAACGGCCAAUUGAUUGUUUCACGCAGAAAGAUAAUAAUUACAAUUGUCUAAAUGAAUUAAUAUCAGGAUUCAAGUAUUGUACUGGUAAAUUCAAUCACAGGGAACUCGCGUGCCCAUGAUAACGAGGAAUCGGGGAAAGGAAAAGCAUUCGUUUAGCCGGCCGUUCCUCAUCGUUCUUUCGUACGGUGUUGUUGUCAAUCGUCGAAACGAAUUUUCGACAGAGGACGCAAAGAGGACCGAUGUCGGGCCCCCUGCUGGGGUAUCGGUUACGCUUAAACCGCGUUUAGGGCUCUCGAAUGCCGGCUUUUUGAGACCGUGACAGCAACCCGAUUGUUGUAGUGAUGGAUUGAAGAAACAACGAAUCAUCAUUGAGUUCUUUUUGUUUUUAACCGUUAGUAGAAUGUGGGAAAUUGUUUAUGAACAGUACAAGAUGCUGAAGAAAGGGAAAGAUAUAGAAUGUGUAUCUAUAUAGACUAUUAGAGGAAGAAAUAUAAAAAUUUUAAUACUGUUA